rnacentral:rRNA from 1 species
CAUCAGACGCAAUCUGCCGCAAAACUGUUGCGGUUUACCGCAUCAAUUGGAUACCCUGGCGAAACGCGAGGCUAAUACAUGAAUCUCAAGGGGUAACUCAAUCAAAGACUUCGGUCUUGGGUGCCCUGCAGAUGAAUGAAAUCAAAACCAACGCCCAGCAAUGGGCAGCAACACUCAGCAGUGUUGAAUCAAUUCAUCUCGUGCGAAAGCCGAUUUAUCGGCGUAUUUUGACGAACAACUGCCCUAUCAGCCAUGAUGGCCGUGUAGUGGACUGCCAUGGCGUUGACGGGAGCGGGGGAUUAGGGUUCGAUUCCGGAGAGGGAGCCUGAGAAAUGGCUACCACUUCUACGGAGGGCAGCAGGCGCGCAAAUUGCCCAAUGCCAAAACAAAUGAUGAGGCAGCGAAAAGAAAUAGGUGCCCUAAAUGCUCUGCAUUUAGGGCUUUCAAUGACCGAUAUUUAAAACCAUCGAACAUCGAGUAACAAUUGGAGGACAAGUCUGGUGCCAGCACCCGCGGUAAUUCCAGCUCCAAGAGCGUAUAUUAACGCUGUUGCUGUUAAAGGGUUCGUAGUUGAAUUGUGGGUUUGUUGGAUGUUGAUACUGUCCUCUUCACCACGAAGCAGGGCACUCACGCCACAAUCC